rnacentral:rRNA from 1 species
UCAGCCACACUGGAACUGAGACACGGUCCAGACUCCUACGGGAGGCAGCAGUGGGGAAUAUUGCACAAUGGGCGCAAGCCUGAUGCAGCCAUGCCGCGUGUGUGAAGAAGGCCUUCGGGUUGUAAAGCACUUUCAGUCGUGAGGAAGGUAGUGUAGUUAAUAGCUGCAUUAUUUGACGUUAGCGACAGAAGAAGCACCGGCUAACUCCGUGCCAGCAGCCGCGGUAAUACGGAGGGUGCGAGCGUUAAUCGGAAUUACUGGGCGUAAAGCGCAUGCAGGUGGUUUGUUAAGUCAGAUGUGAAAGCCCGGGGCUCAACCUCGGAAUAGCAUUUGAAACUGGCAGACUAGAGUACUGUAGAGGGGGGUAGAAUUUCAGGUGUAGCGGUGAAAUGCGUAGAGAUCUGAAGGAAUACCGGUGGCGAAGGCGGCCCCCUGGACAGAUACUGACACUCAGAUGCGAAAGCGUGGGGAGCAAACAGGAUUAGAUACCCUGGUAGUCCACGCCGUAAACGAUGUCUACUUGGAGGUUGUGGCCUUGAGCCGUGGCUUUCGGAGCUAACGCGUUAAGUAGACCGCCUGGGGAGUACGGUCGCAAGAUUAAAACUCAAAUGAAUUGACGGGGGCCCGCACAAGCGGUGGAGCAUGUGGUUUAAUUCGAUGCAACGCGAAGAACCUUACCUACUCUUGACAUCCAGAGAACUUUCCAGAGAUGGAUUGGUGCCUUCGGGAACUCUGAGACAGGUGC